UACGGGGGGGGCAAGCGUUGUUCGGAAUUACUGGGCGUAAAGGGCUCGUAGGCGGCCAACUAAGUCGGAUGUGAAAUCCCCAGGCUUAACCUGGGAACUGCAUCCGAUACUGGAUGGCUUGAGUCCGGGAGAGGGAUGCAGAAUUCCAGGUGUAGCGGUGAAAUGCGUAGAUAUCUGGAGGAAUACCGGUGGCGAAGGCGGCAUCCUGGACCGGCAUUGACGCUGAGGAGCGAAAGCUAGGGGAGCAAACGGG
rnacentral:rRNA from 1 species